rnacentral:lncRNA from 1 species
GCCGCAUGGUAUGAUGAAUGUGACUUUCUGUCUUACAUACCCUUGUAUAACCACAAAUCUAAGAAAAACAGAGUGGUUAAUGUAUAUAGUUCUUGUAUGUUGCAAAGGAAUGUUUUAGUAAUUUGUGUCAAUAGAGAGCUUGAAGGGAAAUGUAUUUGUAGGCUUUUCCUUGAAGUCUCUGAUAUCUGGGGUGGUUUCAGAAUAACUGCCAACUAUUAUGACUAUUGCAUGGGACACUAUGCAAGUCUCUGAUAUCUGGCCAGGAGAUUAAGGAGACGGGGAGAGCUGAAGAACGACUAAAAGACAAAGCUUGCAGGGGACGCUGCACAAGUCUCUGACAUACAGCCAAGUUGGACAAAGGAGAAGGAUGAGAGGGAGGAAGACUAUGAGCCUUCAGCAUGAGACACCCCCAGAGACCCAAGAGGGAUCACCGGAGACUGAUACGCAUGUUCCAGUGCUGCUGCAGAUGUCUGCUCACCAAGGACACCAAUUAACUUCCCAUAAGAAGUUAAUUAACUACUCCAACCAUAAGAAAACACCUAGCAUGGGGAAUUAAAUGGCAUUUCCAGCAAUCUUCUAGGAUGAUUCGAGACAUGUUCCGAGGAAGGAAUCCUUUGUACCAAAAGAAUCUGGAUAUAGCACAUAUGUUUGCCUGCUGGCAUCCCAAGAAGUGUUACCUCUCUCCCAACAGAAGGCUCACACUUUAUAGCUCCUGGAAAGUAACAUGUUUGCCUUCAAUAAAUAACAUGCAUUUUAAAGAAAACAUCUGGAUAAAAAUUGUGCUUGGCUUUUUAAAAUAUAGAAUUAAAAAGAAAUCGUAUUAAAGAAAAGUAGUGCAAUAAUAGUAGAGCUUGCUAUCAUAGAAAAAAUCAAUUUAACUUAUAUAGGUGGACUUCUAUGGGAUACAUACUAUAAAAUCACACUACAGAAUUUUCCAAAUAGAGAACACAGGGACCACUGAAGGAGUGGUAGAAGAUAUUUCAUUAAUGAAACAAAGGCAGCAAAUAGAGAUUAAAAAAAAAAAAAAAAAGUGUAGGUGUAGAGAUUUUAUUACAGUGCUUAGCAAUGUAGUCAUCAAUAACAGCAGAAAAUGCUAAGGGAAGGAACGUAUGGAAGCAUUAGAAACAGGAUCAAGUUAUAAGCUCUGGGAGAAAACAGAAUCCAGGAUAUAGGGAGGAGAUACCUAGGAAUGGUAAUGUCAGGAAAGGUCCUGAAGAAAUACAAACCAUCAAAUUAGUUAUCAGUCCAAGAAAGAGCAGCUUUUACAGGAAUAGAAAUAUUAACAGAACGUAUUAAAAAUGUUUAUUUUUAUAUAACACAUUUCUAGGCACCUAGUUAACAUAAUAUACAGAUGGACACAAGAAUGUUUAGUGACGGGUAAAAAUAAUAACUGAGGGGCUAGUUUACAAGAAAGUCAAAGUCCUAUAACAUGGCUGAAAAGUAGCUAACAGGGCAUACACUACUAGUCUAUCACUAAAGUAUGAAGUCAACCAGGAGCACAGCAAAGUUUUAUAGCAUAAUAAAAAGAGUUGUAAAAAGGAGCA